UGUGUUAACUGUACUGUAUGUAUGCUAAACCUUUUUCUGUUGAGUUUUUGUUAAGCUCCCUGGCUAGGACUUGCCAGUGGAAGGCAAGUAUUUUCAAGGGGGAGCAUGUAACCCUGUGAAGUUACACAGGCUGCAUUAUCUGAAAUGCCCAGUAGAUGGCAGAUGGACUCAGUAUGCUGUUAAUAAAACAUUGAGCUUUGGUCACAUGAUUGUGACAUCAUCGAAGGUCCUGUAAGCUUUCCAGAAGUUACUACGUGCUCAGCCAGAAAAGGACAUGUGUCUGAGAAUGUGAGAGACUGCAGCACAGAGAUGGAACCUUGCUGAGAGAACCUGCUUCACCCAAGAUCACACCUGCUGAGAGAGGGGCCUGCUGGCAAAGACAAGCGCUGAGUCCAGACGUCUGGUGAAUCCAGAGAGAGGAGACUGCUGCUGACCGGCCUGGCUAAUCGUGUUGUGAGGAAAAGCGGGUAACGUAAACGUGCGUGAAAAAGCGUAUGAUGUAAUUUACAGUACUAGAACCGCCCAGUGACUGACCAGUGUCUAUAAAGCAUUCAUCAUCACUAUUUGAACUUUACAAGUGAAUGACUACAAUGGCUACUGGAAGUACGUCAAAUUUCAUACACAUAUUUGAGAAAGAUGAGGACGACAUCAUAUUAACUUAAUCAAUGAAUGCCAUAAACGAAUGGCCAAGUACCAGAAGGAGCAAGAAAAGGAUCGAUUGGCUCUACAUAAGCUGGUGCGGUGGGUUUCAAAAAAGGUUCGGAGGAUGGAUCAGAGGAUCCGUGAAAUAAAACAUAUGCAUUUCAUGAAAAAAAAUAUAUAUAUAUAACCCAAAACUAUUAUUGUUAAAAUGUUAUUAAAAACAUUUAUCUGCCACAGACUUGAUGUGUCGAAUCUUGAAAGUUCUAUCAGUCAAUGUAAUGCGUCAUGUGUAGCUAAUUUUGGACUUCUUUUUCUUGUUUAAAUUUUUUUUUUUAUUUAAACAAAAAAAAUUGAAAGUCAAAUAGUGUAAUUUUUUUCAUGUUAGCC